rnacentral:rRNA from 1 species
AUUGAACGCUGGCGGCAGGCCUAACACAUGCAAGUCGAACGAGAGGCGGACGGGGGAGUAAGGUCUGGGCAACUGCCUGAUGGAGGGGGAUAGCUACUGGAAACGGUAGCUAAUACCGCAUAGCGUCAGAUGUGCCCAGAUGGGAUUAGCUAGUUGGUGGGGUAACGGCCUACCAAGGCGACGAUCCAUAGCUGGUCUGAGAGGAUGACCAGCCACACUGGAACUGAGACACGGUCCAGACUCCUACGGGAGGCAGCAGUGGGGAAUAUUGCACAAUGGGCGAAAGCCUGAUGCAGCCAUGCCGCGUGUAUGAAGAAGGCCUUCGGGUUGUAAAGCACUUUCAGCUGGGAGGCGUUACCCGCAGAAGAAGCACCGGCUAACUCCGUGCCAGCAGCCGCGGUAAUAC